AUACGUAGGUGGCAAGCGUUGUCCGGAUUUACUGGGUGUAAAGGGCGUGUAGGCGGAGACGCAAGUCAGGAGUGAAAUCUAGGGGCUCAACCCCUAAACUGCUUUUGAAACUGUAUCCCUUGAGUAUCGGAGAGGCAGGCGGAAUUCCUAGUGUAGCGGUGGAAAGCGUAGAUAUUAGGAGGAACACCAGUGGCGAAGGCGGCCUGCUGGACGACAACUGACGCUGAGGCGCGAAAGCGUGGGGAGCAAACAGGAUUGGAUACCCUGGUAGUCCACGCUGUAAACGAUGAAUACUAGGUGUGGGGGGACUGACCCCCUCCGUGCCGCAGUUAACACAAUAAGUAUUCCACCUGGGGAGUACGAUCGCAAGAUUGAAACUCAAAGGAAUUGACGGGG
rnacentral:rRNA from 1 species